rnacentral:rRNA from 1 species
UACGUAGGUCCCGAGCGUUGUCCGGAUUUAUUGGGCGUAAAGCGAGCGCAGGUGGUUUAUUAAGUCUGGUGUGAAAGCCUUCGGCUUAACCGGAGUAGUGCAUUGGAAACUGGGAGACUUGAGUGCAGAAGAGGAGAGUGGAACUCCAUGUGUAGCGGUGAAAUGCGUAGAUAUAUGGAAGAACACCAGUGGCGAAAGCGGCUCUCUGGUCUGUAACUGACGCUGAGGUUCGAAAGCGUGGGUAGCAAACAGG